GGGCUUCGUUUUGGGCCAAGAAACUUCUUCUCGCAUAAAUACUGGCACAGUUCGUCGUGAACGAGGGCGAAACCCUUCUCUUUCACUCUCUCUCAAGCUGCUGCCUGCUUUGCACCGGCGGUCAGACUCAAAAAGUCUUUAAUCAUUCUAUAUGAACAAAGACUCCAAGCAUGUCUAGUAACCCGACUUUCGUAGAUGAGGAUGCUUCUUCAGGAUCAGGAGAUGAGGCAAACAUGUUGGAUGGACACAAUAAACCUCAAUCUGUGACGCCAAAUUCAGGUCGACGCAAGAGAAGUCGUAAAGCUACAGGUGAUGCAAUAGUUGAUGCUAUGCUUGAAAUAGCAGCCGCUUCAAAGAUGAGGGCAGCCGCAAUCACGAGGAAUGAGGAGCGUUUUACUAUAAGCAAAUGCAUAAGACUGUUGGACGAGAUGCAAGGUGUUGAUCAAAGUCUCUAUUUUUAUGCUUUGGAUUUAUUUGAGAAUCCGACAUCAAGAGAAACUUUCGUAGCGCUUAAGGUUGAGAGACGAUUAGCGUGGUUGCAGGGAAAGUUUAGAGCUUCCUCAAGUACAUCAGCCUGAGGAAUAUGAUGUGCUUUUUUGCCCUUUUACUAAUGGGUCCUCUACUUUAUCUCAGAUUUGUAUUGAUAUUAGUGAACUUUGCUCUUUUGAUGUUGUAUUUGGUUUAACAGUUGUGAUUAACGUUUUUCUUGAAAUAUAAUCCUUGUUUUUCUUUUCCCAUGAUCUACUGAUGUUGAAAAAUCAUGUAACCAUGCAUGUGUGUUGUAGUAUACAUCCCUAUGUUUCAAAAUCUAUUUGUACAGAUUCAUCAGCCAUUGUGGAUGACUUAAACGUUGAAUUGGAUGAGAUGGAAUUAGUUGCAGCAGCUGCUUGUUACCACUACAAUAACAGUAUUACAAAGCGUCCUGUUCAUAGCUUGUCUCCUUAACGAUCUGGAUUCUAGGCUGAAGUAUGCAAUGGCCAUGGUGUUCUGUGUCAAGAAAUGUUCAGGGUGGACAAAAACAUGUUUCACAAGUUGAGCAAAUGCUCUUCGACAGAGAGGCAUGUUAUGUGACACGGCAGGACUGCAAAUCCUUUUUUCUCAGUUCAAAUCCAGGUGUCGCCUAAUCAACAAAAAGCUCUAAAUCUUUUUUUCUCUUCUGUUCUGUUGAUACUUGUUUGAUUCUGUUAUGAUAGAGUAGCAGUUGGCCAUUUUCUUGAAUAUUGUUGGCCGCAAUGUAUGUAACAGAGUAAUUCAAGAGCAUUUUCAGCAUUUUGUUUAAACAGUAAUUAGACACUUAAAUAAUGUAUUAAUGACAAUCAAGUCAUUAUCGCAAGUUCCUUCAAACAUCACCUCACAUUACUCCAGCAGAGAUCCUGCAAAGCAAUAGAUUCUACCCAUACUUCGAGGUGCCUGCACAAGAUCAAUCUAGAUUUCGUAACAGAGGAUGUUCCAACACAAAGUAGCCUGCAGAUUUGAUCUCCAGUUUAUAUGUGUUUAUCCUGGUUGGGAAGGCUCAGCUCCAGAUUCUCGGGUGUUGAGAGCUGUCGUUGGGGAUCCUGAUCAGAACUUCCCUCAAGUUCCUGAAUGUUGAUAAUGGUUGCUAAGCUUCCUAUAUGAUGCGUUUCCUUAUUUUAAUGGUGAUAAAUCCUAUUCAUGUAUCAUUUAUAUGCCAGGAAUGCAAAGGAUUGUUCAAUCACAGACAUGCAUCUUUGAGCAAUGCCAUGCUGAAGUCUUUAAAUGUUCUAAAAACAAGAUUCCCAAUUCUCAAACUUCCUCCUCAGUAUGCUUUUCACAAGAAGAGGGAUCUUGUCAUAGUUGCAUGUGUAUUGCAGAAUCACAUUCGACCAGAGGAGAAAAAUCAGGUUGUUUAACAAAGAAACUCGAUUGCGGCAGCAAUGUGGAAUGAUUUCAUCAAUAAAUAGGAUGAAUGUGACCAUCAACAUUCUGCUCCCGGUUGUAUGUAGGACAUAUUUUGAUAAAACUCUAUGUUUGUUUUUUCGUCCCUACUCCACUGCCUGGUUUUGGAGGGGACUCUUUUGUUCGCCUUCUAUCUUUAUCUGUAGAAUUUUGCUGAAGUACUCGAAAAUGCUUGACCAAGGAGGUGACAUUCUCUCACAUUGCCGCGGGUCCCAUUUGAAUAAAAAAAAUGCCGACCUCCUGUGUAUGUGUGUAUUCGGUCAAGCUCUAUGUCACCGCCUUUGUUGCUGUAGCUUUGUCCUUAUUAGUAAUGCUAGUAUAACGUCAACUCUUGCUAGACAUACGUUUUUAGCAGUCAGUCUGAAGUCAUUUUGUCAAGAUGCAAGAGAGCUCUAUUGAUAGGAUUAAGAUUACAAUGUCAAAUGGAGGUUAAUAUUC